rnacentral:misc_RNA from 1 species
GAUGAAGAACUUAGCGAAAUGCGAUAAGUAGUGUGAAUUGCAGAAUUCAGUGAAUCAUCGAAUCUUUGAACGCACAUUGCGCCCUUUGGUAUUCCUUAGGGCAUGCCUGUUCGAGCGUCAUUUGAAACCUCAAGCUCAGCUUGGUGUUGGGUGUCUGUCCCCGCCUCACCGCGGGGACUCGCCUCAAAAUCAUUGGCGGCCGGUACGUUGGCUUCGAGCGCAGCAGAAACGCGAACUCGAGGCCCGGCGGAUCGGCGACCAGAAGUCACUUCUUCACAGUUUGACCUCGGAUCAGGUAGGGAUACCCGCUGAACUUAAGCAUAUCAAUAAGCGGAGGA